UACAGAGGGGGCGAGCGUUGUUCGGAAUUACUGGGCGUAAAGGGCGCGUAGGCGGCCAACUAAGUCAGACGUGAAAUCCCUCGGCUCAACCGGGGAACUGCGUCUGAUACUGGAUGGCUUGAAUUCGGGAGAGGGAUGCGGAAUUCCAGGUGUAGCGGUGAAAUGCGUAGAUAUCUGGAGGAACACCGGUGGCGAAGGCGGCAUCCUGGACCGAGAUUGACGCUGAGUGCGCGAAAGCCAGGGAGGCAAACAGGG
rnacentral:rRNA from 1 species